AUUGAACGCUGGCGGCAGGCUUAACACAUGCAAGUCGAACGAGUGGCGGACGGGUGAGUAAAGUUAGGGAAUCUAGCUUAUGGAGGGGGAUAACUACGGGAAACUGUAGCUAAUACCGCGUACCAUAGGAUGAGCCCAAGUGGGAUUAGGUAGUUGGUGAGGUAAAGGCUCACCAAGCCGACGAUCUCUAGCUGGUCUGAGAGGAUGACCAGCCACACUGGGACUGAGACACGGUCUAGACUCCUUCGGUCGGCAACAGUGGGGAAUAUUGCACAAUGGGCGCAAGCCUGAUGCAGCCAUGCCGCGUGGAUGAAGAAGGCCUUCGGGUUGUAAAGUACUUUCAGCGAGUAGGCGUUACUCGCAGAAGAAGCACCGGCUAACUCCGUGCCAGCAGCCGCGGUAAUAC
rnacentral:rRNA from 1 species